rnacentral:misc_RNA from 1 species
AAAAAACUCGUUACUGAUUGUGUUGGCAGUGACAGAGGCAAAGAGCUUGAACUACGCCACGCAGCUGAGACACCUCCGCAUAAAUUUGUGCCAUGGGUUGUUGUUGAUGGACAACCGCUUUACACUGACUACAGGGAAUUCAUAAGCUACAUUUGCAAAGCUUACAAAGGAACCGCGCCUAUCCCCGGUUGUAGCUCAUCUGAUUCUAUAAGUUUCACUUCCAAGUUAUCAACUAUCAG